GAUGAACGCUGGCGGCGUGCCUAAUACAUGCAAGUCGAGCGAACAGACGAGGAGCUUGCUCCUCUGACGUUAGCGGCGGACGGGUGAGUAACACGUGGAUAACCUACCUAUAAGACUGGGAUAACUUCGGGAAACCGGAGCGAAUACCGGAUAAUAUAUUGAACCGCAUGGUUCAAUAGUGAAAGACGGUUUUGCUGUCACUUAUAGAUGGAUCCGCGCCGCAUUAGCUAGUUGGUAAGGUAACGGCUUACCAAGGCAACGAUGCGUAGCCGACCUGAGAGGGUGAUCGGCCACACUGGAACUGAGACACGGUCCAGACUCCUACGGGCGGCAGCAGUAGGGAAUCUUCCGCAAUGGGCGAAAGCCUGACGGAGCAACGCCGCGUGAGUGAUGAAGGUCUUCGGAUCGUAAAACUCUGUUAUUAGGGAAGAACAAAUGUGUAAGUAACUAUGCACGUCUUGACGGUACCUAAUCAGAAAGCCACGGCUAACUACGUG
rnacentral:rRNA from 1 species